rnacentral:rRNA from 1 species
CCCUUAGAUGUUCUGGGCUGCACGCGCGCUACACUGAUGCGCUCAACGAGUUUUAACCUUGCCUGGAAAGGUUGGGUAAUCUUUUUAAAACGCAUCGUGAUGGGGAUAGAUUAUUGCAAUUAUUAAUCUUCAACGAGGAAUUCCUAGUAAGCGCGAGUCAUCAGCUCGUGCUGAUUACGUCCCUGCCCUUUGUACACACCGCCCGUCUCUCCUACCGAUUGAGUGAUCCGGUGAAUAAUUCGGACUGCGGCAUUGACCGGUUCCCGAUCGUUGCUGCGGAAAGUUUAGUGAACCUUAUCACUUAGAGGAAGGAGAAGUCGUAACA